GCCGGGUGUGGUGGCGCAUGCCUGUAAUCCCAGCUACUCAGGAGGCUGAGACAGGAGAAUCACUUGAACCCAGGAGGCGAAGGUUGUAGUGAGCCAAGAUUGUGACACUGCACUCCAGCCUGGGCGACAGAGUGAGACUCUGUCUCAA
rnacentral:SRP_RNA from 1 species